rnacentral:rRNA from 1 species
GAUGAACGCUAGCGGGAGGCUUAACACAUGCAAGUCGAGGGGCAGCACGAUGUAGCAAUACGUUGGUGGCGACCGGCGCACGGGUGAGUAACACGUAUGUAACCUACCCUGUACAGGGGGAUAACCCGGAGAAAUUCGGACUAAUAUCCCGUAAUAAUAUCCGGAGGCAUCUUUGGAUAUUAAAGUUCCGACGGUACGGGAUGGGCAUGCGUAACAUUAGCUGGUUGGUAAGGUAACGGCUUACCAAGGCUAUGAUGUUUAGGGGUCCUGAGAGGGUGGUCCCCCACACUGGUACUGAGACACGGACCAGACUCCUACGGGAGGCAGCAGUGAGGAAUAUUGGUCAAUGGGCGCAAGCCUGAACCAGCCAUCCCGCGUGCAGGAAGACGGCCCUAUGGGUUGUAAACUGCUUUUCCAGGGAGAGAAACUUACGCACGUGUUGCGUGACUGACGGUACCCUGGGAAUAAGCAUCGGCUAACUCCGUG